rnacentral:rRNA from 1 species
UCCUGCCAGUAGCAUAUGCUUGUCUCAAAGAUUAAGCCAUGCACGUCCAAGUACGGUAUAUGAGGGGUGGGGUGCCAGGUGGAUCUGGUUUCAGCCUUUACGGGUUGUGCUAGCUAAGCUUGGUUAUCUUGCUUCCAUACACAGCGAAACUGCGGAUGGCUCCGUAAAACAGUGUUAACCUACACGGGGAAAUAUUCACUUUCGGGUGAAUCACAAGGAUAACUGUGGAAACUCCAGAGCUAAUACUUGACCUAUGCCCAGCCUUAAAAACUGGGUGGAGUUGACUGUAGUUGUCUUUGACCCAAUGCGGUUUACGCCGCUUGGUGCUUAGACUGGCUGACUCAAGUCAGACUCCAGAUCGAAGUGCCUAACGGCGUCGACACUCUGUUCGGAACACUGACCUAUCAGCAUGUUGUUACCGGACGGGGGUAACAUGGCAACCACGGGUAACGGGGGAUUAGUGUUCGAUCCCGGAGAGGGAGCCUGAGAGAUGGCUACCACGUCCACGGACGGCAGCAGGCGCGCAAAUUACCCACUCCUAAUGACAGGGAGGUAGUGACGAGACAUAUUGGCUUGCCUUUAAGGGUGAGUCGGAAUGGGAACGAUUUAAACCACCUAUCGAGUAGCAAUUGGAGGGCAAGUCUGGUGCCAGCAGCCGCGGUAAUUCCAGCUCCAAGAGCGUAUAUUAAAGUUGUUGUAGCUAAAAAGCUCGUAGUUGGAUAUUAGGAGGUUCCGGGAGCAUAGGUGAAAUACUCUUGGGUUAAUUGUCAUGUUCAAUGCAUGGCUUAAACCAAAAAAGGUUUCAUCCUUGGGUCAACUGGCAUGAUGUAGGCCGGGUACGCGGUGUGGCUUCUCGGUUUUUCUGAUCGGGAGGUUAUAUCAAACGGUUUUGGCUUCUCAUGUUAGUGGCUAUGUUUCUUAAUGAAGUUGGUCUGGGGGUUCUUUCGAUCAGUUUUGGAUGGUACCUUUUGGUAUUUCACUCACUGGUUAACUCCCUUUCCUCCUUCCAGGUCCUGCCUACUUUCAGGGAAAACCAAUGGUACUGGCCUAUUCGGAGGGGUAUUUCACGAUACUUGCCGGAUGGGGUUAAACCUGUAUUAUUGCCCUGAUAAGGCCCUGUGAACAAAUCACAGCGCUCAAAGCAGACGGUUUCGUCUGUGAGUGAUUUAGCAUGGUACGCCAACGUUAGUUGCAUUGUUGGACGCGUCGUGAGUCCUUCGCGGGAUUUCUGAUGUAACCGAGCUUUCUUUCGAGGGUUCGGCCGGCAGUGAAACGUGGUUAAUGGGGGUGGACGGAGGCAUUCGUACUCUGUGGCGAGAGGUGAAAUUCAAUGACCCACGGAAGACGAACAAAUGCGAAAGCAAAUGUCUAGGACAUUCCCAUCAAUCAGGAACUAAAGUCAGGGGAUCGAAGA